CCUACGGGUGGCAGCAGUGAGGAAUAUUGGUCAAUGGCCGUAGGGCUGAACCAGCCAAGUCGCGUGAGGGAUGAAGGUACUAUGGAUCGUAAACCUCUUUUAUCAGGGAAUAAAGUGCGGGACGUGUCCCGUUUUGUGUGUACCUUAUGAAUAAGGAUCGGCUAACUCCGUGCCAGCAGCCGCGGUAAUACGGAGGAUGCGAGCGUUAUCCGGAUUUAUUGGGUUAAAGGGGUGCGCAGGCGGAUUGUAAAGUCAGGGGUAAAAUUCCGGGGCUAAACCCAGACGUGCCGUUGAAACUGGGGGUCGUGAGUAAGUGAGAGGUAUGCGGAAUGCGUGGUGUAGCGGUGAAAUGCAUAGAUAUCACGCAGAACUCCGAGUGCGAAGGCAGCAUGCC
rnacentral:rRNA from 1 species